rnacentral:rRNA from 1 species
GUCCUUUUGAUCGUAAUUUAAGGUCUGACCUGCCCACUGAUUUAAAUUGAAGGGCCGCGGUAUUUUGACCGUGCAAAGGUAGCAUAAUCAUUAGUCUUUUAAUUGGAGGCUGGAAUGAAGGGUUGGACGAGGCAUAAACUGUCUCAUUGUAAUUGAAGCUUGAAUUUAACUUUUGGGUGAAAAGGCUUAAAUAAGUUUAAAGGACGAGAAGACCCUAUAGAUCUUUAUAUUGAGGAUUUUAUUAAUAGUUUAGGUAGAUUAGUUUUAUUAGGGAACUAAAUAUUUUGUUGGGGUGACGGGAAGAUAAAAUAAACUCUUUCUUACAAAGGACACUGAUUUGUGUAUCGAUGAU